rnacentral:rRNA from 1 species
UACGUAGGGUGCGAGCGUUGUCCGGAAUUAUUGGGCGUAAAGAGCUUGUAGGUGGUUUGUCGCGUCUGCUGUGAAAACCCGGGGCUCAACCCCGGGCCUGCAGUCGAUACGGGCAGACUAGAGUGCGGUAGGGGAGACUGGAAUUCCUGGUGUAGCGGUGAAAUGCGCAGAUAUCAGGAGGAACACCGGUGGCGAAGGCGGGUCUCUGGGCCGUAACUGACGCUGAGGAGCGAAAGCGUGGGGAGCGAACAGG